rnacentral:lncRNA from 1 species
UUUAAAUGUUAAUACAUUUUGUUGCAAUUCAGUUCUGGAACAAUGAAAUGCUUAACAGGAAGAGGAAAAAGAUUCAAUUCUAUGGGUCUGCAUAGCAACCAAAUUAAAAAUAGUCUAAAAAUACCUAGAAUAAGGCAAGGGAAAAACUGCAUGAUUCAUUUUUCAUUUUGAUACUUCAAUGUUUUUGACACUCUUUACACUGAUGUAGGAUUUUUCUUCUUGGUCAUUUUGUAAGCCAGGACCCACAGCUGGCAAUGCUCUGCCUGGGCCUCACUUGGCCAUGCUGGUGUGCCCCAGGUUGCCUGUGUUGUAGCUUGCACUCACAUUUGGUGGUUCCUGAGCUCUUGCACCAUGUCCAAGAAGAAUGAAGAUACACAGGACAUUGAAGGAAGGGGAAGAUGGAGAAGAAUUUUAUUGAGUGAAGGAAAUGGCUUUCAGAGAAGAGGGGAUCUAGGAUUGGUCCCCCUACUUGAAGGCAGGAAAGGUCCCCCACCUCAUGUGGCUGGGUCUGGGGCCUUUUGUUGAUACAGAAUGGGGAGUGCGUGCUGAUUGGUUUGUGAGUAUGAAAAAAAAGAUUAAAGCAAAGACACCACUCAAAGGUGGGCACCACAGUGUAGAAAAUCAAUUAGGAGAGGGUAGACAUAUGUAAAAUAGGUGAAGAGUGGGGAACUAUCAGAGGAAAGCAUGCCAAAUGGGAAGACAAGUUCUCAAUCCAGUGCAAGGAUAUAAGUUGUAGCUUGGCUUUCAGGCUUUAAACUGUCUUUGGCUUGAGGUGGGGUUUCACCAGCAAUUCCCCAUCCGCCUAGGCAUUUAGCUGCCUCCUGCCACUCUCAGUACUACUAAUAAAUAAGCACUGAGUUAAUUUAGCUUAUUUUCUGUUAAAACGUUUUAUAUUGUAAAGUAUGGAAUACUGAUCUUUAGUAAAGAUAGCCAUACAAUUGGAAAAAAAUCAAUGUAAAGAUAAUGAGUACGUAUUUAGUUUUGUCCAAUAUCAAUCAUUGCUUCUAGUAUACAUAUGUAACUAACCUGCACAAUGUGCACAUGUACCCUAAAACUUAAAGUAUAAUAAAAAAAUAAAAAAAAAGAAAAAAGAAAAUAAUCUCUCACUAUCUCUUAAUUUUAUAGUUCAUUUGAAUAUUUUCUAACACAGGAUUUUGCUAAUUCACAUUUUAAACUGUUUUUGGGAAACUAAUUUAUGUUAACACAACUUCGUAAACAUUCAUGCCCAUGUUCCCUCUUCUCUGCAGAUUAAAAUUUUUCAUCAUAGCCAUUAUAUCUCGUUCUGAUACUGCUAAGGCAAAGUAAAGGUAAAAAGAGAUACUAAGUUCCCAAGAGCCUGAAAGAGACAUUUGGCUUAUUUGUUAUGUUACAGUCACAAGGAAGCAUUGUCAGAGUCAAGAAAACAUAUUUUCUUUUGAGCCAUUUACAACAUUUAAUAGUUGAGUAAAGUAUACUACCGUGAGAAAAAAUAGAACAUAUCUAUAUGUCUCUACAUGAUUUCUCCAGAAUUUUGAAAAAAUU